rnacentral:lncRNA from 1 species
AAUCGAUGAUGAUUCCAUUAGAGUCCAUUUAAUGAUUCCAUUUGAUUCCAGUCUCUGAUGAUUACAUUCGAGUCCAUACGAUGAUUCCACUCAAUUCCAUAUCAUGAUGAUUCCAUUCGAUUCCAUUCGAUGAUUCCAUUCUAUUCUAUUCAAUGGUGAUUCCAUUCGAGUACAUUAGAUGAUUCCAUUCGAUUCCAUUCAAUGAUGAUUCUAUUUGUGUCCCUUAGAUGAUUCCACAUGAUUCCAUUAGAUGAUGAUACUAUUUCAGCCCAUCCAAUGAUUCCCUUCGAUUCCAUUCGAUGAGGAUUCCAUUCGAUUCAAUUCAUUGGUGAUUCUAUUCAAUUCAAUUCUUUGAUUCCAUUCCAUUCCAUUCGACAAUGAUUCCAUUCGAUUUCUUUCGAUGAUUCCACUCGAUUCCACUUGACAUUGAUUCCAUUCGAUUCCAUUCAAUGAUUCCGUUUGAUUCCAGUGGAUGAUGAUUGCCAUCGAUUCCAUUCGAUCACUCCAUUCUAUUCCAUUUGAUGAUGAUUACAUUCGAUUCCAUUUGAGGAUUCCAUCUGAUUCUAUUCGAGGAUUCCAUUUGAUUCCAUUCGAUGAUGAUUCCAUUCGAGUCCAUUCGAUGAUUUCAUUCGAGUACAUCCAAUGAUUCCAUUCGAGUCCAUUUGAUGAUUCCAUUUGAUUCCAUUUGAUUAUGAUUCUACUAGAGUCCAUUCAAUGACUCCAUUCGAAUCCAUUCAACAAUUCCAUUCGAGUCCAUUCGAUGAUUCCAUUUGAUGAUUCCAUUCGAGUCCAUUUAAUCAUUACAGUCGAGUCCAUUUGGUGAUUCCACUGGAUUUCUUUUGAUAAUGAUACCAUUCAAUUACAUUUGAUGAUGAUCCCAUUCAAUUUCAUUUGAUGAUGAUUCCAUUAGAGUCCAUUCCAUGAUUUCAUUCGAGUCCCUUCAUUGAUUCCAUCCGAUUUCAUUGGAUGAUGACUCCAUUCGAGUCCAUUCGAUGAUUCCACUCGAUUCCAUUAGAUGAUUCCAUUGGAGUCCAUUUGAUUGUUCCAUUCGAUUCCAUUCGAUUCCUUUCGAAGAUUAUUCCAUUUGAGUCCAUUCGAUGAUGAUUCCAUUCCAUUCCAUUCGAUGAUUCCGUUUGAUUCCAUUCGAUGAUUCCCUUUGAUUCCUUUCUAUGAUGAUUCCAUUCCAUUCCAUUCAAUGAUUCCAUUCGAAUCUAUUCCAUGAUGAUUCCUUUCGAUUCCAUUCGCUGAUGUUUCCGUUCAAUUCCAUUCGAUGAUGAUUCCAUUCGAUUCCAUUCAUUGAGGAUUCCAUUUGAUUCCAUUCAAUGAUGAUUCCAUUCUAUUCCAUUCAAUGAUUGCAUUCAAUUCCAUUCAAUGAUUAUCCCAUUAGAGUAAGUUCAACGAUUCCAUACAAUACCAUUCGAUGAUGAUUCCUUUUGAGUCCAUUCAAUGAUUUCAUUCAAGUCCAUUUGAUGAUUCCUUUCAAUUCCAUUCUAUGAUGAUUCCAUUCGAGUCCAUUCGAUGAUUCCAUUCGAUUGCAUUCGAUGAUUCCAUUAUAUUCCAUUCAACGAUGGUUCCAUUCGAGUCCAUUCGAUGAUUCCAUUAGAGUACAUUUAAUGAUUGCUUUGUUUUCAAUUCGAAGAUGAUUACAUUGGAUUCCAUUCUAUGAUUCCAUUCGAUUCCAUUCAAUGAUGAUUCUAUUUGUGUCCCUUAGAUGAUUCCACAUGAUUCCAUUAGAUGAUGAUACUAUUUCAGCCCAUCCAAUGAUUCCCUUCGAUUCCAUUCGAUGAGGAUUCCAUUCGAUUCAAUUCAUUGGUGAUUCUAUUCAAUUCAAUUCUUUGAUUCCAUUGCAUUCCAUUCGACAAUGAUUCCAUUCGAUUUCUUUCGAUGAUUCCACUCGAUUCCACUUGACAUUGAUUCCAUUCGAUUCCAUUCAAUGAUUCCGUUUGAUUCCAGUGGAUGAUGAUUGCCAUUGAUUCCAUUCGAUCACUCCAUUCUAUUCCAUUUGAUGAUGAUUACAUUCGAUUCCAUUUGAUGAUUCCAUCUGAUUCUAUUCGAGGAUUCCAUUUGAUUCCAUUCGAUGAUGAUUCCAUUUGAGUCCAUUCGAUGAUUUCAUUCGAGUACAUCC